UAGCGUAAUCACUUGUUCUUUAAUUGAGGAGAUGAAAACGGCCCACGAGGACUACACUGUCUCCUUUUUCUAAUCAGUGAAACUGAUCUCCUCGUGAAGAAGCGAGUUUAUAAGACGAGAAGACCCUAUGGAGCUUUAAACAACUAAGGUACUUGCUAAUAUUUAAUUUUAUUUCCGAAAACUAAACAAAUUCAAGCAUCUUACCCCUAAGUUUUAGGUUGGGGUGACCACGGAGAAAAAAUUAACCUCCACGCUGUAAGAAGCCUUCCAUCUUCUAAGCUAAGAGCUACAUCUCUAAGCAUCAACACAUUGACUCCUAUUGACCCAAUAAUUUGAUCAACGAACCAAGUUACCCUAGGGAUAACAGCGCAAUCACUUUAGAGCUCAUAUCGACAAGUAGGUUUACGACCUCGAUGUU
rnacentral:rRNA from 1 species